CAAACGACUAUCGCCAAUGGAUAUCUCAGCUCACGCAUCGAUGAAGAACGUAGCAAAAUAAGAAACUUCGUAUGAAUUGCAGAAUCCCGAGUGCCAUCUAGUUUUCGAACACAAGUUGCGCUCGAAGCCUUUUGGUUGAGGUCACGUCUGCCUGGGCGUCACAC
rnacentral:rRNA from 1 species